UCAUGUUAUCGAGUGUGUACACGAAGACAAUGAUGCGGAGAACGGAGUGAAAGCUUACCGAUCCUGGAACCUUCCCGGGACUAAGAGCAACAGAAGAGAAGAAAGGCAGAGUGGGUUCUCUCUAAUGCGAAGGGGUUUAUCUCGACGGUACAGUUUACUGUAGAGUCCAUCACGAAGCCGUUGUCACUGUUCAGGACAAGACCUUCAACCUGGACAAGACACCCUACAACCUCCUCUUGGCUGCUGGCUCUGAACUCAAAGCUAAUAGUGUCGGAUUCCACAACAAAGCCUACGUAAGCUCGGCAGAAUAAACAGCUGAUGUCAGACUUCCGAGUGAUAACGCCCCUGAUC